rnacentral:rRNA from 1 species
UACAGGGGGUGCAAACGUUGCUCGGAAUCAUUGGGCGUAAAGCGCACGUAGGCGGUUCGUUAUGUCGGAUGUGAAAGCCCUUGGCUUAACCGAGGAAGUGCAUCCGAAACUGGCGAGCUAGAGUACGAAAGAGGAUCGCGGAAUUCCCGGUGUAGUGGUGAAAUUCGUAGAUAUUCGCAAGAACACCAGUGGCGAGGGCGGCUCACUGGUCCGGUACUGACGCUGAGGUGCGAAAGCGUGGGGAGCAAACAGG